UGUUCGUUGAUGAUUAUUACCCAGCAAACAUGCCUUUGAAAAGCUAGACAAAAUGAGUGAAUACUAUAAGACCUUUGUUCUUAUCGUGACUGAGGUCC